CAAUAGCGUAUAUUAACGUUGUUGCAGUUAAAAAGCUCGUAGUUGGAUUUCUGGAGGGAGCGUCGGCCCGUAUUUACGAGUGCGUGACGUCUCUGUCCAUCCUUGCGGGAAGGCACGGCAUUGAUUUGUUGUGUCGGAUCGCAUCAUUUACUGUGAAAAAAUUAGAGUGUUCAAAGCAGGCUUUCGCUUGAAUACAUUAGCAUGGAAUAAUAAGAUAGGACUUUGGUGCUGUUUUGUUGGUUGAGCCUAAAGUAAUGAUUAAUAGGGAUAGUUGGGGGCACCUGUAUUGCGUUGUCAGAGGUGAAAUUCUUGGAUUUACGCAAGACAAACAGCUGCGAAAGCGUCUGCCAAGGAUGUUUUCAUUNA
rnacentral:rRNA from 1 species